GAAGCGGCGGGGUGACCCAGUCGUGGAGUGCACACGAGUGAGAAUGCAGGCAUGAGUAGCGAAAGACGGGUGAGAAACCCGUCCGCCGAAUAUCCAAGGGUUCCAGGGUCAAGCUAAUCUGCCCUGGGUAAGUCGGGACCUAAGGCGAGGCCGACAGGCGUAGUCGAUGGACAACGGGUUGAUAUUCCCGUACCGGCGAA
rnacentral:rRNA from 11 species